rnacentral:tRNA from 1 species
GCCGACAUAGCUCAGCCGGUAGAGCACCUCCAUGGUAAGGAGGGGGUCAACGGUUCGAUUCCGUUUGUCGGCUCAA